ensembl:snRNA U2 U2 spliceosomal RNA
AUCGCUUCUCGGCCUUUUGGCUAAGAUCAAGUGUAGUAAGAAUCCAUGUACAGUACUUGAUGAGUUAUUAGUGGUUAGUGGAAAGUAUAGGAUUGACUUUGUUGGUGACUAAUACCCUAAUUGUCUGCUAUGUUUAUCCAGUGUAAUUAGAGAAUUA